CGUGCUUGACUGGGAGGUGGUGUUGUCAUGCGGAGCUGAAAUAAAAGUAAGACCUUCAGAAGAGAAAUGCCAGUACACUAAGCAAGCUCCUCACUGUGCAUUUCUUUCCAUCAAGGACUCCUUACAUCUAACACAAGCAAUACCUGCUGUCACAUGUACUUCCCUCCGCAUCCAGCAUGCCUCCCUCUUGUGAACUAACACAAGGCAGGGCCACAGCUUGUGAAAGAAUGGGGCUACCCCAGGUUCCAUCUCAUUCCUGCUUCCCAACCAACCAAGUCCCCUUGUGCAGUGACCAUGUUGUGUUUGGCAAUAUCCUCCAAGAAGUUUGAUGCCUUCCACUAUCGAGAAGGACUGUUAUACUGUACUGCUGAAAACACCAUGGACAACUACAAUUUUAUAAGUACCAAACUGCCUACCUUUGAAGUUAUUAUUGGCCAAAUUACACAGUUUUCAAAUGAUGGAUUGAAUCCCCCGACGGAAAAUGAAGUGUGCAAUUUGCUUUAAACGACUAUUGCGACUUGUUUGCUGGCUUGCCUUAUUUUGCUUCCGUUUUU